AGGGUCUACGGUGGAUGCCUUGGAGCUAUCUGGCGAUGAAGGUCGUGGCAAGCUGCGAAAAACCACGGGGAGGAGCAAACAUCCUGUAAUCCGUGGGUGACCGAAUGGGGUAACCCAAUUAGUUAGAUACUAGUUAUCCAUACCUGAACACAUAGGGUAUGGCAGUAAAACCCAGGGAACUGAACCAUCUAAGUACCUGGAGGAAAAGAAAUCAAAAGAGAUUCCCUUAGUAGUGGCGAACGAAGGGGGAAUAGCCUAAACCUGUACUAUGUAAGGCUUAUACCGUUGUAGUAUGGGGGUUGUAGGAUAUGUUUGUUAUGCGGUGUAAGACGUGUAGCGGAGUCAAAAAGUAGUGAUAUAGCGGAAUUUUUCUGGAAAGGGAAGCCAAAGAGGGUGAAAGCCCCGUACGCGAAAUGUUGCUGCCUCCGUAGGAUGUAUCCUGAGUACCGUGGGACACGUGAAACCCUGCGGGAAUCCGGGAGGACCACCUUCCAAGGCUAAAUACGAGAUAGCUACCGAUAGUGAAGAAGUACCGUGAGGGAAAGGUGAAAAGAACCCCGGGAGGGGAGUGAAAUAGAACCUGAAACCGUAGACUUACAAGCAGUCAGAGGAUGUUUUCGGACAUUUGAUGGCGUGCCUUUUGUAGAAUGAACCGGCGAGUUACCGUAUGUAGCAAGGUUAAGGCAUAGAAGUGCUGGAGCCGUAGCGAAAGCGAGUCUGAAAUGGGCGUUAAGUUGCAUGUGGUAGACCCGAAGCCGAGUGAUCUAUUUAUGGUCAGGCUGAAGCUGCGGUAAAACGCAGUGGAGGGCCGAACGCUAGUCUGUUGAAAAAGGCAGCGAUGAACUGUGAAUAGGAGUGAAAGGCUAAUCAAACUCGGAGAUAGCUGGUUCUCCCCGAAAUAGCUUUAGGGCUAGCCUUAUUUUAAGUAUUGCGGAGGUAGAGCACUGAAUGGACUAGGGCCCUUUACCGGGUACCAAACCCAACCAAACUUCGAAUGCCGUAAUAUGUUGAAUAGGAGUCAGACUGUGGGCAAUAAGGUUCAUAGUCAAAAGGGAAAGAGCCCAGAUCGUCGGCUAAGGUCUCCAAACCAGACUAAGUGGAAAAGGAAGUGUAAUUGCAAAGACAGCCAGGAGGUUGGCUUAGAAGCAGCCAUACCUUUAAAGAGUGCGUAAUAGCUCACUGGUCGAGUAGUUAUGCGCCUAUAAUGUAACGGGGCUCAAGUCUGGUACCGAAGCCACGAACUGUAUGUAUGUACAGUGGUAGGGGAGCAUUCCGGAUGUUGAUGAAGGUGUAUUGAAAAGUAUGCUGGAGAUAACGGAAGAGAGAAUGCCGGUAUGAGUAACGAAAAGACAGGUGAGAUCCCUGUCCGCCGAAAACCUAAGGUUUCCUGGGUAAAGGUAAUCUUCCCAGGGUUAGUCGGCCCCUAAGGCGAGGCUGAAAAGCGUAGUCGAUGGGAAACUGGUUCAUAUUCCAGUACUUCUGGUAGUAGAUGCCGAAGGGAUGACGCGUGAGGUGAAGCCCGGCCCGGCGAUGGUUGUCCGGGUCAAAGCCAUGAUGUGAUGAUGUUUGCAGGCAAAUCCGCAGACAGAGCAGAGUGGUUAAAGCGAGCUGAUCUAAGGAGAAGCGAAGCGGGUGUAAUCAUGGCGACAAGAAAUAAUCUCUAAGGGGCGACUAUCAGGAACCGUACCGCAAACCGACACAGGUAGGAAGGAUGAGAAUUCUAAGGCGUACGAAAGAACUCGCGUUAAGGAACUCGGCAAAAUGCACACGUAACUUCGGGAGAAGUGUGGCCUUUGGUGGAUUUAGCAAUAAGUUUAUCGGAGGUUUCAGAGAAAUGGCUCAAACGACUGUUUACCAAAAACACAGGUCUCUGCGAAUCAGCAAUGAGAAGUAUAGGGACUGACACCUGCCCGGUGCCGGAAGGUUAAGAGGAGAUGUUAGCUUCGGCGAAGCAUUGAAUUUAAGCCCCGGUAAACGGCGGCCGUAACUAUAACGGUCCUAAGGUAGCGAAAUUCCUUGUCGGGUAAGUUCCGACCUGCACGAAUGGUGUAACGAUUUGAGCGCUGUCUCAACGCGAGACUCGGUGAAAUUGAAUUAUCGGUGAAGAUGCCGAUUACCUAUGGUUAGACGGAAAGACCCCGUGAACCUUUACUGUAGCUUAGCAUUGGGACUUGGUCUAUGAUGUGUAGGAUAGGUGGGAGACUAUGAAGCGUGGGCGCUAGCCUGUGUGGAGUCGUUGUUGAAAUACCACCCUUCAUAGAUUAGGUUUCUAACGCUGGUCGUGAAAUCCGAUUAGUGGACAAUGUUAGGUGGGCGGUUUGACUGGGGCGGUCACCUCCUAAAGAGUAACGGAGGUGUGCAAAGGUCUCCUCAGGCUGGUUGGAAAUCAGCCUCUGAGUAUAAAGGCAAAAGGAGGCUUGACUGCGAGACUGACAAGUCGAGCAGGUACGAAAGUAGGUCUUAGUGAUCUGGCGGUAGCGAGUGGAAGCGCCGUCACUUAACGGACAAAAGGUACUCCGGGGAUAACAGGCUUAUCUUGCCCAAGAGUUCACAUCGACGGCAAGGUUUGGCACCUCGAUGUCGGCUCAUCGCAUCCUGGGGCUGGAGCAGGUCCCAAGGGUUUGGCUGUUCGCCAAUUAAAGCGGUACGUGAGCUGGGUUCAGAACGUCGCGAGACAGUUCGGUCCCUAUCUGCCAUGGGCGUUGGUUGUUUGAGGAGUGCUGCUCCUAGUACGAGAGGACCGGAGUGGACGAACCUCUGGUGUACCAGUUAUUCCGCCAGGAGUAAGCGCUGGGUAGCUAUGUUCGGAAAGGAUAACCGCUGAAUGCAUCUAAGCGGGAAGCCUCCUUCAAGAUGAGACAACCCUGAUACUUUA
rnacentral:rRNA from 1 species